GGGGAGCGUUCUGUAAGCCUGUGAAGGUGUACUGUGAGGUAUGCUGGAGGUAUCAGAAGUGCGAAUGCUGACAUAAGUAACGAUAAAGCGGGUGAAAAGCCCGCUCGCCGGAAGACCAAGGGUUCCUGUCCAACGUUAAUCGGGGCAGGGUGAGUCGACCCCUAAGGCGAGGCCGAAAGGCGUAGUCGAUGGGAAACAGGUUAAUAUUCCUGUACUUGGUGUUACUGCGAAGGGGGGACGGAGAAGGCUAUGUUGGCCGGGCGACGGUUGUCCCGGUUUAAGCGUGUAGGCUGGUUUUCCAGGCAAAUCCGGAAAAUCAAGGCUGAGGCGUGAUGACGAGGCACUACGGUGCUGAAGCGACAAAUGCCCUGCUUCCAGGAAAAGCCUCUAAGCAUCAGGUAACAUCAAAUCGUACCCCAAACCGACACAGGUGGUCAGGUAGAGAAUACCAAGGCGCUUGAGAGAACUCGGGUGAAGGAACUAGGCAAAAUGGUGCCGUAACUUCGGGAGAAGGCACGCUGAUAUGUAGGUGAAGCGACUUGCUCGUGGAGCUGAAAUCAGUCGAAGAUACCAGCUGGCUGCAACUGUUUAUUAAAAACACAGCACUGUGCAAACACGAAAGUGGACGUAUACGGUGUGACGCCUGCCCGGUGCCGGAAGGUUAAUUGAUGGGGUUAGCGGUAACGCGAAGCUCUUGAUCGAAGCCCCGGUAAACGGCGGCCGUAACUAUAACGGUCCUAAGGUAGCGAAAUUCCUUGUCGGGUAAGUUCCGACCUGCACGAAUGGCGUAAUGAUGGCCAGGCUGUCUCCACCCGAGACUCAGUGAAAUUGAACUCGCUGUGAAGAUGCAGUGUACCCGCGGCAAGACGGAAAGACCCCGUGAACCUUUACUAUAGCUUGACACUGAACAUUGAGCCUUGAUGUGUAGGAUAGGUGGGAGGCUUUGAAGUGUGGACGCCAGUCUGCAUGGAGCCGACCUUGAAAUACCACCCUUUAAUGUUUGAUGUUCUAACGUGGGCCCCUUACCGGGGUUGCGGACAGUGUCUGGUGGGUAGUUUGACUGGGGCGGUCUCCUCCUAAAGAGUAACGGAGGAGCACGAAGGUUGGCUAAUCCUGGUCGGACAUCAGGAGGUUAGUGCAAUGGCAUAAGCCAGCUUGACUGCGAGCGUGACGGCGCGAGCAGGUGCGAAAGCAGGUCAUAGUGAUCCGGUGGUUCUGAAUGGAAGGGCCAUCGCUCAACGGAUAAAAGGUACUCCGGGGAUAACAGGCUGAUACCGCCCAAGAGUUCAUAUCGACGGCGGUGUUUGGCACCUCGAUGUCGGCUCAUCACAUCCUGGGGCUGAAGUAGGUCCCAAGGGUAUGGCUGUUCGCCAUUUAAAGUGGUACGCGAGCUGGGUUUAGAACGUCGUGAGACAGUUCGGUCCCUAUCUGCCGUGGGCGCUGGAGAACUGAGGGGGGCUGCUCCUAGUACGAGAGGACCGGAGUGGACGCAUCACUGGUGUUCGGGUUGUCAUGCCAAUGGCACUGCCCGGUAGCUAAAUGCGGAAGAGAUAAGUGCUGAAAGCAUCUAAGCACGAAACUUGCCCCGAGAUGAGUUCUCCCUGACUCCUUGAGAGUCCUGAAGGAACGUUGAAGACGACGACGUUGAUAGGCCGGGUGUGUAAGCGCAGCGAUGCGUUGAGCUAACCGGUACUAAUGAACCGUGAGGCUUAACCUUACAACGCCGAAG
rnacentral:rRNA from 1 species